ACAAUUAUACACGCAUGUACCUGCGUACCAACACGGCCGUAUAUAUUGUACACUCGUAGUGGGGGGCUAAGAAAACCACAAAAAGUAACGAAUGAUCCAGAAAGUAUUAAUCGAAAAGUUUAUUGGUGUUUUGAACAUAAACCUAUUAAAAGAACAGUAAUUAAUUUGAUAUAUUCACAUAAUGAACUAAAACUUUUUUCAAAAUUAUUAAAUCAAACAAAUGUUGGUGCUUCACUUAUCCACGAACUGUCAUUGGAUGGUCCAUAUACUGGAUUUGUUCCAUCAGACACAGCAUUAAACUUAAUUAGUUCAAAAAGUUUAAAUAAAUUAUAUGAAGAUGAUAACAAAUUAUAUGAGUUUGUUUUAAAUCAUUUUACAAAGGACUUCUGGCUUUACAGAGAUUUGUAUGGCUCUUCAUAUCAACCUUGGUUAAUGUACAACGAAAAAAGAGAUGCUCCAUCCAAAAUUACAAAUCUAAUGAAUAAAGACUUGAUUGUAAAAAUUGAUGGAGAAUUUAAAAAUUGUGAUCAUUCAAUUUAUUUAAACGGGUCGAAAAUUAUAAGACCUAACAUGAAGUGCCAUAAUGGAGUUAUACACAUUAUAGAUAGGCCUAUCAUAUUCCAGUAAUGAAUGCGACACAAUAAUAAACAUUUGUUUAAUAUCA
rnacentral:lncRNA from 1 species